UCAUGCCAAUGCAUGUACAGCUGAAGCUCCUGCUCAAUCUCAGGCCAAUGUAUGUUCUUCUAGUACUCAUGCCAAUGCAAGUAUAGCUGAAGUUCAUGCUCAAUCUCAGGCCAAUUCCAUUGGACCAAGGCCUGACAAAAGACAAGCUAAAGCUAAAGCAACGACAAGAGUAAGUGAAGGAGGAUCCAAAGGCCAGGCCAAUGCUUCUGCAGAGGCCAGUGCAAUACGAGACAAUAGUGGGCAAGCCAAUGCUUCUGCUCAGGCUAGUGUAGAUGUAAGAGGAUGCAGUGCCACUGCAGGAGCCCAUAUAGGAUGUACAGCUACCGCUGAUAUAAGAGGAUGCAGUGGUGAGGCCAAUGCUUUUGCCGAAGUUUGUUUUGAUCAAGGUGAAGGUAUUUAUAGUGCUUAAGCCAAUGUAAUUGCUCAAGAUAGACCCUAGAAAAUCCCAUUUAAAAGACCUGCAAUUGAAAAUGAAAUGAUGCAAGGACAAGCAUAGGCGGCGAGGAAGAAAAUGGUAGGGUUAGCUGUUGACACAAAUCAUAGGACAAACCUUCAAAUUCUCAAUCCUGGCACAACUGGUGUAAGACUAUGAAACCUACCAGACAAAGGGGUAGUUUCAGGGGCUGCUUCAAUGGCAAAGGCGCAUCCCCAAGCCAGUGCACAACCUCGGCAAUUAAGAACUUGUCCUCGAAAGCACGCUGCUGUAAAGGGACAUGCACCAUUACAACCCAAGGCGAGUUCCUAACCUCAGUCAUAUCAUGCUACAACAGCUCAAAAACAUGGUGUAAAGCGAACGGCACCGUCACAAUCCCAAGCGAGUUCCCAGCCUCAGUCAUCUCAUGCUACAAUAGCUCCUCGAAAGCAUAUUGCGGUGAAGCCAAAGCCACUAUCACAACCACAGGCCAGUUCCCAGCCUCAGUCAUCUCAGGCUACAACUCCUCCAAAGCCUACUGUUGCGGGACCAUAUAUGAAAAAGCCCAAGAAUUAUGAAUAAUGAGAAGGUCGAACCUGCUGGACCUCCAGAGACCAUAGAAUUGGAUUGAUAUAUUUGCUGAAAAUGAUUUUUUUACGUGAAUUUUUGUCAAUUAU